rnacentral:rRNA from 1 species
GAUGAACGCUGGCGGCGUGCCUAAUACAUGCAAGUCGAGCGAACGGACGAGAAGCUUGCUUCUCUGAUGUUAGCGGCGGACGGGUGAGUAACGCGUGGAUAACCUACCUAUAAGACGGGGAUAACUUCGGGAAACCGGAGCUAAUACCGGAUAAUAUUUUGCACCGCAUUGUUCAAAAGUGAAAGACGGUCUUGCUGUCACUUAUAGAUGGAUCUGCGCUGCAUUAGCUGGUUGGUAAGGUAAUAGCUUACCAAGGCAACGAUGCAUAAACGACCGCAUAGGCGGAUAGGCCACCCGGGAAGUUGGCCAGCGUCAAUACGACUGCGGGACGCCGCAGAAUCGAAUCGGCCGCAACAGGGGAAAGUCUGACGCAGUAGCGCCGAGCGAGUGACGACGGCCCUCGGAGCGGAAUACCCUGCUUCGAGGGAUAAACAUAUGUGGAAUGUACCGAGCAGAGCGUGACGGUAAUGAAUAAAGAAGCCACGGCUAACUACGUG